rnacentral:lncRNA from 1 species
GAGACCAGGAAGAUGUGGGCAGGAACACUCUGAGGACGAAUUGGUUUCCUCCAGUAAUUGCAUUGUGAAAUUGCUGUCAAAGGUAUUGAACCAACCCAUCCUUGAAGUGGUCCAAACAGCCAACUUGGAUCUCACCCUGAGUAAAGGUUUUUAAUUAAUUGUUAGUCCUUCCCAGUUCUAGAAGGAUGCAUGUCGUGGAAGAAGUGAGCUUACACCUUAUGAAAGAGAGAGAGAGAGAGAAAUGAUGACCUCAUAAAGACCACGUGUGGCUUGCCGCUGUGGAAGAUGGGAACAUGAGCAAUCUGUUCCUUUCUGAGCCUGCUUAUAAUAUAACUAUCAAACAUGAAACCCAACAAAUAGAUAAGUCAAAUUUUGCAAGUAAAUAUGGAAAUAGAGAGAUCAAAGAAGAUGGCACAAGAAAGUAGACUGGAUAACUCUUCAGAAGCAAAAGAUCAAAGGAAUUUGGCAGAGUCCUUGGAGGACACCGAUAGCGGAAUGGCGAUGGCAACAGACUUGAUCCCAGCUUCACCAAGUUCAGUUGUUGCCAGACUACAGAAGCAGGGGUUACAACCACAUUGCACAACUUGAGUGGAACACCUUCUAUCAGAAUCAGGUUUUGCCUGGUCUUUUCUGCCCUCCCCUUGCCCCAUUCAACUCCACCCGACUGCUUGCUCCAUUUCAGAAUCCGAAAAGGUGGAUGCAGUGAAAUUAAAAACCCGGGCUCAGCAAGAGCCAAGCUGAGCGAAGUCCAGUGCUUCUCUGGCCACUGGGAGGAAUUUUGUGUGCUUGUUGGCUAAUCAGAGGAGGAAACCCUUUACAGCUUGUUAAGGCGGUUUCUUUGACCAACACCUCCCAUAGGUGCUUCAGUAAAACUACGAGCAAGCAGACCCUUCUCCUGCAUUGAAAUUUGUAUAAUAUCAAUGUUGCAAAAUGCCAGUUUUAGCAGCUUUUUUUCUGCUUAAAAACUUUGAAAAAAGGAAGGGAUUUGAGUUCCAGAAAAUGGGUGGGUAGAGGGUGGAAAGGGAGAAGCAGAGCUG